rnacentral:rRNA from 1 species
UCGAACGCGAAAGAGACCUUCGCGGUUUCAAGUAGAGUGGCGUCCGGGUGAGUAACACGUAGGUAAUCUACCUUUGGGUGGGGAAUAACGCAGGGAAACUUGCGCUAAUACCGCAUAAUGCAGCGGCACCACAUGGUGACAGUUGUUAAAGCGGGGGAUUUUCGAACCUCGCGCCUAAAGAGGAGCCUGCGGCGGAUUAGCUAGUUGGUAGGGUAACGGCUUACCAAGGCGACGAUCCGUAACCGGCCUGAGAGGGCGGUCGGUCACACUGACACUGACAUACGGGUCAGACUCCUACGGGAGGCAGCAGUCGGGAAUUUUGGGCAAUGGGCGAAAGCCUGACCCAGCAACGCCGCGUGAAGGAUGAAAUCCUUCGGGAUGUAAACUUCGCAAGAAUGGGAAGAAUGAGCGAGUACUAAUACUGCUCGUGAUGACGGUACCAUUUGUAAGCUCCGGCUAACUCCGUGCCAGCAGCCGCGGUAAUACGGGGGGAGCAAGCGUUGUUCGGAUUUACUGGGCGUAAAGGGCGCGUAGGCGGUCAGCACAAGUCAGUUGUGAAAUCUCCGGGCUUAACUCGGAAAGGUCAACUGAUACUGUGCGACUAGAGUGCAGAAGGGGCAACUGGAAUUCUCGGUGUAGCGGUGAAAUGCGUAGAUAUCGAGAGGAGCACCUGCGGCGAAGGCGGGUUGCUGGGCUGACACUGACGCUGAUGCGCGAAAGCCAGGGGAGCGA